GAUGAACGCUGGCGGCGUGCCUAACACAUGCAAGUCGAACGGAGUCGUUUUGGAAAUCUCUUCGGAGAUGGAAUUCUCGACUUAGUGGCGGACGGGUGAGUAACGCGUGAGCAAUCUGCCUUUAAGAGGGGGAUAACAGUCGGAAACGGCUGCUAAUACCGCAUAAAGCAUUAAAUUCGCAUGUUUUUGAUGCCACAGGAGCAAUCCGCUUUUAGAUGAGCUCGCGUCUGAUUAGCUAGUUGGCGGGGUAACGGCCCACCAAGGCGACGAUCAGUAGCCGGACUGAGAGGUUGAACGGCCACAUUGGGACUGAGACACGGCCCAGACUCCUACGGGAGGCAGCAGUGGGGAAUAUUGCGCAAUGGGGGAAACCCUGACGCAGCAACGCCGCGUGAUUGAAGAAGGCCUUCGGGUUGUAAAGAUCUUUAAUCAGGGACGAAACAAAUGACGGUACCUGAAGAAUAAGCUCCGGCUAACUACGUG
rnacentral:rRNA from 1 species